GUCGAACGCUGGCGGCGUGCUUAACACAUGCAAGUCGAACGGAAAGGCCCUGCUUUUGUGGGGUGCUCGAGUGGCGAACGGGUGAGUAACACGUGAGUAACCUGCCCUUGACUUUGGGAUAACUUCAGGAAACUGGGGCUAAUACCGGAUAGGAGCUCCUGCUGCAUGGUGGGGGUUGGAAAGUUUCGGCGGUUGGGGAUGGACUCGCGGCUUAUCAGCUUGUUGGUGGGGUAGUGGCUUACCAAGGCUUUGACGGGUAGCCGGCCUGAGAGGGUGACCGGCCACAUUGGGACUGAGAUACGGCCCAGACUCCUACGGGAGGCAGCAGUGGGGAAUAUUGCACAAUGGGCGGAAGCCUGAUGCAGCAACGCCGCGUGCGGGAUGACGGCCUUCGGGUUGUAUACCGCUUUCGCCUGUGACGAAGCGUGAGUGACGGUAAUGGGUAAAGAAGCACCGGCUAACUACGUG
rnacentral:rRNA from 1 species